AAGCUAACGCAAUAAGCACUCCGCCUGAAAAGUACGAUCGCAAGAUUGGAACUCAAAGGAAUUGACGGGGGUCUAACACUAGUGGUGGAGCAUGUAGUUUAAUGUGAUAAUCCGCGCAAAACCUUACCAAUUCUUGACAUAAUUUUAUAAUUUUGCUUAAUCUUAUUUUGUAUAGUUUAAUUAUUUAUUACAGGUGUUGCACGACUGUCGUCAGCUCGUGUCGUGAGAUGUUUGGUUAAGUCCUGAAACGGGCGUAACUCUUACUUUUAAAAUUUUAACGUAUUAAAAUCUUUUUAAAUGCUUUAAAAGUACGGUCAAUGAUAAGUUGAAGGAAGGUAAGAACGAAGUCAAGUCAAUGUGACCCUAAUGAAUUGGGCUACUUCAUGUGCUACAAUGAAAAUCACAAAAAGUGACAAGGAAGAGAUUUUAAGGUAAUCAACAAAAAUUUUCCCAGUUCGGAUUGUAGACUGCAACUCGUCUACAUGAAGGUGGAAUCACUAGUAAUCGCAAAUCAGCACGUUGCGGUGAACAUGUAACUUGACCUUGUACACACCGCCCGUCAC
rnacentral:rRNA from 1 species